CAGAAGAUAGUUAAUAUAUAACAUUAAUUUUGGAGAUUAAAAUAAAUUUUAUUUCUUCUGA
rnacentral:tRNA from 1 species